UACGAAGGGUGCAAACGUUGCUCGGAAUUAUUGGGCGUAAAGCGCACGUAGGCGGCUUAGCAAGUCGGAAGUGAAAGCCCUCGGCUCAACCAAGGAAGUGCUUUCGAAACUGCUGAGCUUGAGUAGUUAAGAGGAUCGCGGAAUUCCCGGUGUAGAGGUGAAAUUCGUAGAUAUCGGGAGGAACACCAGUGGCGAAGGCGGCGAUCUGGGAAAAUACUGACGCUGAGGUGCGAAAGCGUGGGGAGCAAACAGG
rnacentral:rRNA from 1 species